CCGACCUUAGCUCAGUUGGCAGAGCGGAGGACUGUAGUGGUAAUAUCAACAGGCAAUCCUUAGGUCGCUGGUUCGAAUCCGGCAGGUCGGA